UCUCCUGGAAACGGGUGGUAAUGCCGGAUGCUCCAGUUGAUCGCAUGGUCUUCUGGGAAAGCUUUCGCGGUAUGGGAUGGGGUCGCGUCCUAUCAGCUUGACGGCGGGGUAACGGCCCACCGUGGCUUCGACGGGUAGCCGGCCUGAGAGGGCGACCGGCCACAUUGGGACUGAGAUACGGCCCAGACUCCUACGGGAGGCAGCAGUGGGGAAUAUUGCACAAUGGGCGCAAGCCUGAUGCAGCGACGCCGCGUGAGGGAUGGAGGCCUUCGGGUUGUAAACCUCUUUUAUCGGGGAGCAAGCGAGAGUGAGUUUACCCGUUGAAUAAGCACCGGCUAACUACGUGCCAGCAGCCGCGGUAAUACGUAGGGUGCAAGCGUUAUCCGGAAUUAUUGGGCGUAAAGGGCUCGUAGGCGGUUCGUCGCGUCCGGUGUGAAAGUCCAUCGCUUAACGGUGGAUCCGCGCCGGGUACGGGCGGGCUUGAGUGCGGUAGGGGAGACUGGAAUUCCCGGUGUAACGGUGGAAUGUGUAGAUAUCGGAAA
rnacentral:rRNA from 1 species